ACGCUCGACACCUACGGGAGGCAGCAGUUGGGAAUAUUGGACAAUGGAGGAAACUCUGAUCCAGUGACGCCGCGUGAAGGAAGAAGGUCUUCGGAUUGUAAACUUAUUUUGUCAGGGAAGAAAAAUGACUGUACCUGAAGAAAAAGCACCGGCUAACUACGUGCCAGCAGCCGCGGUAAUCUGAGCGGGCUGGCAAGGC
rnacentral:rRNA from 1 species